rnacentral:lncRNA from 1 species
ACCGUUGAAAGUACCAGCACCGUUUGCGGGGCAAGCAACUUAACCUAAUGUACCCGAAAGCCCAGUUUCAACAUGUGCAUGUAAAGCUAUUAGCGAUCCUGAGUCUUCCCUCGAGUGCAGAUAGGCACUCAAGAGGCACAACACUGCAAAAGCUUCACUAACCCAUUUUUCCACCCUUUUAAUGCAUAAGGGCUUUUACUGUCGGUCACACUCGGACAUUCCGUCCGGAACUCUCAGUACACAAAUUUACUACCCGAGAGCUCUCACCCCUUGCUGACUGUCAACCAUAUCGCUGUUGGGCCACACUUGUGCAGGCCCCGCAUAUUCAGAACGUAAAACAACUUUGGUAACCUAGGGCAACG